rnacentral:rRNA from 1 species
AGGCAGCAGUUAGGAAUCUUCCCCAAUGGGCGCAAGCCUGAGGGAGCGACGCCGCGUGAGGGAUGAAGGUCUUCGGAUCGUAAAACUCUGUUAUUAGGGAAGAACAAAUGUGUAAGUAACUAUGCACGUCUUGACGGUACCUAAUCAGAAAGCCACGGCUAACUACGUGCCAGCAGCCGCGGUAAUACGUAGGUGGCAAGCGUUAUCCGGAAUUAUUGGGCGUAAAGCGCGCGUAGGCGGUUUCUUAAGUCUGAUGUGAAAGCCCACGGCUCAACCGUGGAGGGUCAUUGGAAACUGGGAAACUUGAGUGCAGAAGAGGAAAGUGGAAUUCCAUGUGUAGCGGUGAAAUGCGCAGAGAUAUGGAGGAACACCAGUGGCGAAGGCGACUUUCUGGUCUGUAACUGACGCUGAUGUGCGAAAGCGUGGGGAUCAAACAGGAUUAGAUACCCCAGUAGUCC